AACGCACAUUGCGCCCGCCAGUAUUCUGGCGGGCAUGCCUGUCCGAGCGUCAUUUCAACCCUCGCGCCCCCCGCGGCGCGGCGUUGGGAGACCGGGCGCCUCCGCGCGCGCCGGCCCCCGAAAUCGAUUGGCGGCCCCGCCGCUGCCUCCCCCGCGUAGUAGCACAAGCUCGCGGCGGAGCGCGGCGCGGCCACGCCGUGAAACGAACCCACACCAAAGGUUGACCUCGGAUCAGGUAGGAGUACCCGCUGAACUUAA
rnacentral:misc_RNA from 1 species